GAUGAAGAACGAAGCGAAAUGCGAUAAGUAGUGUGAAUUGCAGAAUUCAGUGAAUCAUCGAAUCUUUGAACGCACAUUGCGCCUCCUGGUAUUCCGGGAGGCAUGCCUGUUCGAGCGUCAUUAAAAUCACUCAAGCUUAGGUUUACCUAUUGCUUGGUCUUGGAGAUGGAAGCCAAUUCAUUGGAAUCCUCUUCGAAAUCCAAUGGCGAAGACCCUUGCUCUCCCAAGUGUAGUAAUAACUUAUGUCACUGAAGGAAGCGAGAAAUCUUCCGCCGUAACCCCCAUAUUUUCUAUGAUUGACCUCGGAUCAGGUAGGGAUACCCGCUGAACUUAAGCAUAUCAAUAAGCGGAGGA
rnacentral:misc_RNA from 1 species